rnacentral:lncRNA from 1 species
AUUAAAAUAAUUUUUGUUCAUUAAUUUGCUGUAUUUUGUAGGAUGAGAAGAAGAAACCGAAAAACCAGGAGAUACGGAGUUUUGGACACUAACAUAGAAAACAUGGAAUUAACACCUCUAGAACAAGAUGAUGAGGAUGAUGAUAACACAUUGUUUGAUGCCAAUCAUCCUAGAAGGUAAGUAUUCAGUAGUUUAAUUCCAUAUAUCAGGAAGCAAGUCCUUGCCAAGAAAAUUUAAGAUGUAGAUGUUCACUUAACAGUUUUUAUUCUAAUUGAUAUUAUUGAGUUCUCUUUAAUGAAGUUCUGUGUACUACCCAGCCAAUAGCUCACAUUCACAUUGCUAUUCUGAAAUAGCCAUAAAGAGUACAAUACAUCUGCCUCCAGUAUCUUUAUUGUAGGUUUCCUUGCAAUGCUUUAGUUUUAACUUCUUUAUUCUUACAAUAUGUAUUGUGUGUGUUUGUGUAAGGGGGAAUUUAGUAAUCUUUUUCUUUUUAUAUUCUGAAGGCAUUUUGUUUUCCAUUUGAAUUAUUUUAUUUACAAAUAGUACUUCAAAACAGAAUUGUAGAGUUAAUGGUGUUCUGAUAGUUUAACUGUGUAAAUAAAAUAUAUGUAUUUAGAUUUAUUCUCACUCCAUUUUAAGACGUUUCCUAAGAUAUUUGGAUAAAUGAAAUUACAAGGGUAUUGAAUUAGUGCAGAUAGAAUGAGAAAAAGAUGCAGUGAAGAUCCUACACAUUAAAUGAAGAUAUGUUAGGAUAAAAAGGGAUUUCUUAGGUCAAGGAAAAUUAUUAUCAAGAAUCAGGUACAAAUUUAAAGAGUACAGAAAUCUUGGAAUUAAAAAGAAAAGAAUGAACAAAACUCAGGCUAUUAAAUUUCAUGUAUUUACUAUAUAUAAUGUAUAGAAUCUAAAUUUUAUAUUUUUGUAUUUUAAUCAAUAAAGGGUAUAUGUGUAUUAAAUCCCAUAUUUUAGUGUAUUGUGUAUAUAUGUAUUGAGUCAUAUAUACAAAUGAAAUUUUAUGUAUAUAUUAUUAUAAAUUAAUAUAUAAAAGAAGGAAUUACCAAUACUACUAAAAAUUCCCAUGUAUUUUUAGAAUUUUAUUUUUAUAUAUUUAUUGUGUAUAUGUGUAUGUUUAUAUACAUACACAUAUAAGUAUAUAAAAGGAUCUGGGGAUGUAGCUCAGUUGAUAGAGUGCUUGCCAACCCACGCACAAGGCCCUAGGUUAAAUCCCCAGCACCACCACAAAAAAAAAAAAAAAUAACAACCAAAAGACUCAUAAGUACAUAAAAGAACUUCAAGUAAUGACAAAAAUUUAUACAUUUUAUAAAAAUAUAUUUAUAUAAUUUUAAUUAUACAAUUAUAUUAAUAUUAGAACUUAGAUAGACAGAUGUGAACAAAAGUCUUAACCUCUCAUUAAGAUCUUAGCCUCUUAAAAAACAAACAUGACUAAAAUAUAUACACGUUUAUAACAUUUGGUUUGGCUCACUAAAAACCCAUUAAAUUGCCUAUAAAUGUUGUAGAGUUUUCAACAAGGUUAAUAUUGUUGAUUGUUAACUUUUUUUUUACGUUGUGUAUCAGAUAAAUUUGUGGAUUUUCAUUUAAGAGUCACUAAAUAUAUUAGGUACUUUAUGCAUUAGAAUUAAAAACUGAAUAAUAUGAAAUACAGUCGGGAACAAAGACUUAUUAAAGGAAUAACUAAUCAUAUCUCUCAUCUUGGGCUCACUCUAAGAAAGUGUUUUAAUAAUUAAGAUGGCAGUGGAAUCUCACUCUUUUUAAUAUUAUUAUUAUUAAAAUUAAAAGUUUUCACAGCUAUUAUAUUGAAAUAAUUUAGAUACAUAUGAGGCAUCUGCUCUACACAUAGAAAUGGAAGGUAGGAAACAAAAUUGUUAACAACUUAAGAUUGUCUCCAAGCCAGGCAUGGUGGUGCAUGCCUAUAAUACCAGCAGCUCAGGAGUCAGGAGGGUUGCGAGUUCGAAGCCAUCCUCAGGAAUGGUGAGGCACCAAGCAAUUCAGUGAGAUCCUGUCUCCCAGUAAAAUACAAAAUUGGGCUGAAGAUGUAGCACAGUGGUUGAGUGCCACUGAGUUCAAUCCCCAGGACCAAAAAAGAAAAAAGAAAAAAAGAUUGUCUCCAAAGAUGGACUUAAUUUGAACUCUAGUUCAUUUAUUUCAGCAUGCUAGUUAAAGACAAAGCUUGCAAAGUUCAAUAGUUGUGAAAGGUAAUGCCUCACAAAUAAAAAAGAUCAUGUAUAAUUAUAUGCCAACAGAUUUGAUAACCUAGAAGAAAAGUAAAUGCCUAGGAUUGUACAACCAAAAUCUAAUCAAGGAUAAAUUGAAACCCCAACAGGCCAAUAACGAAAGGAGAUGAAAUCAGUAAUCAAAAAUUCCCCAAGAAAUGUGCAUGGUAGUACAUAUGCCUAUAACCUCAGCUGUUCAGGAGUGUGAGGCAGGAUAAUUAUGUGUUUGAGGCUAGCUUAGGUAACAUAACAAGGUCCUGUCUAAAGCAGAGAAACAAAAAAAAUCCCAAGACAAAUUACUUCACAAAGUUAAUCAUAACAAAUUUUCAAAAAAAAUCAAUGCCAGUCUUUCUCAGAAGAAUUUUUCUUUACUAAGGGAACAUACCAAAGAUAGGACAAAUCAAGGGUAUAUUAACCCUUGAUGAACAAAGUUGCCAAAAUUCUCAAUGAAAUUCUACCGAACUGAAUUCAAUAGAAUAUUUAAGUGAGACCAAAUGGGAUUUGCCCCUGGAAUGCAAGGAUAUUUCAAGAUAUGUAAGUCAAUCUUUUCCAUAAAUUUUAGUGAGAAAACUGUCAUCUUCAUCCAGAAGAAUGAAAUGAAACCAUUCUUUUUUGCCAUAUACAAAAAUCAAUCAAAAUGGAUUAAAGACUUACAUAUAUGGCUUCCAAAAAAGAUUUCCAAAAAGACAUGAGGAAAACAUUUUUGACAUUGGUCUGGGUAAUGAUGUUUUGAACAUGAUCCCAGAAAUCACAGGCAACAAAAUAAUUAGGGCUGCAUCUAACUAAAAAGGUUCCACACAAUCAACAAAGUAAAAAGGCAACCUAUGUAAUAGCAGGAAACAUAGUUUGUUUUUUUUUAAUUUUUGUUGAGAGCCACAGCUGAAGGGGCCCCAGCAAACUUCCAGCUGCCAGCAAACUUCCAGCUGCCAGCUGAUGAUUGACUCACAGUGGCCCCAGCAAACUUCUAGCUGCCAACUGAUUGGCUCCUCUGCGAUGAUGCUCAUUGGGCUGUUUCCCCACCCUUUCAGACCAGGGAGCUGCUCAUUGGGGGACUUUUUUUGGCUCUGCCCAAGCAACCCAGCCAAUCAGCCUCAAGAGCAGGAGGAGUGGGGGAGGUUGAGAGGCUUGUGGGAAGCCGGUGGUGGCAGUUGGGCUCUGAAAGGUUUUCCUGAGGAGCUGUGUGGUUUGGUGUGUGUGUUCUAAAAAUAAAGUUCGUUUCUUUUGACAAGUGGCUCCUGAAUUGUGCCCAGCCAGACUGCAGCAAAUUUUUAAUUAUUUUAUUUGUUCUUUUUUAUAUAUACAUACAGUAGGUUAUAUUUUGACAUAUAUACAUGGAGUAUAAGUUCUAAUUAGGAUCCCAUUCUUGUGGUCAUAUGAUGUGGAGUUUUCACUGGUCAUGUAUUCAUAUGUGAAUAUAGGAAAAAUUAUGUCUGAUUCAUUCUAGUAUCUUUCUUAUGCCCAUUCCCCCUCCAUUUCCUUCAUUCCCCUUUGUCUAAUCCAAUGAACUUCUGUUUUUAAUAUCCCUUUUAAUAUCCCUUAUAUAAGAUGUUUGUUUCAGAUCUCAGAGAUUUUUGGACUUUGGAAUUUUUGCCUGAAGAUUUGGAUUUUAGAUAUUUGGAUGUAUACAAACUAUGUAUACUUCUUACAUACUACAUAUUGUAUCUCUCUGUAUAUACAGAUAGAUCAUGUAGUAUUUGUAUUUUUGUGUCAGGAUCUCUCUUUCUCUCUCUCUCUCUCUCUCUCUCUCUCUCUCUCUCUCUCUCUCUCUUUCUCUCUCUGUAUCUCUCUCCAUAAACACACACACACAUACACACGGAGAGAGGCUUUAAUAUCUAAUAUUUAUAUAGAAGCUAUGUAACUCAAUAGCAAAAUAAAACAGAACAAAUAACCUGAUUCAAAAGUGGGUAAAAGACAGUAGAGUAUUAUAUAUUAUUAUUAAUUAUUAUUAUUAUAUAUUAUUAAUACAGUUAAUGAGAGUACAUUGUAUACUUGACAUUUGCUAUGAGGGUAAAUCUUUAUUGUUCUCACCAGAAAAAUAAAUGGUAGUUAUUUGAGGUGAAAAUGUUUUUAGCUUGUUUGUGAUUGUUUCACAUACUGCAUGUAUAUCAAAACAUCUAAGUAUACCUAUUAAUGUUAACAAUUUUUAUUUGUCAACUAUAUCUCAGUAGAGAUGAAGAAAGAGAAAAUGAGACAUAUCUUUUUGGUGGAGGGCGGGGGUGUGGGGGAGCACUUAACCAUUGAACUACCAUCCCUAGCUCUUUUUAUUUUGAGACAGAGUCUAAGUUGCUUAGGGCCUCUCAGCCUCACUAAGUCAUUGAGGCUGGCUUUAAAUUUAUGAUUCUCUUGUGUUAGCCUCCCAAGUCAUUGGGAUUACAAGCAUAUGCCACUGCACCCAGCUAAGAAAACAUAUCUUGAAACACUUGUAAUGCAUGCUAUUCAUGCUUCUCAUCAAUUAUUCUACAGGUGAUGAAAAUUCAUUCUGAAAAUCUGAAGACAUAGGAAAAAAAAGUUAUGUUAUAAAGAUUUCUCUGUUGGGUUGGAGGAGAACAGGGUAAGGAGUAAGAGGAUAAGAAAGAAGACCAUUUAAAGGGUGCAAAUACAUGGAGUGACUUGAAUUAUUCAAGGGGCUUUGGAAUGUAUUAUCAGUGGGAUCUAGGUAUUCUGUUUUCAUGGCAAAGGAGAAGAAAUACUAAGGAAAAAGCAAUAAUGAAGUCUUCGUGAGCUUUUUAGUAGUCUGACCAAAUUUAUUUCAUAAAUAAAUAAUUUUAGUAUACAGAUCUACGUAAAGUAAGGAGGAGGAAAAUAGUUGUUUUAGUCAGUUUUUUUUUUUUUUUUUUGCCACUGUGACUAAAAGAUCUGACCAAAACAACUGUAGAGGAGAAAAAGGUUAUUUGAGGGCUCACAGUUUCAGAGGUCUUAGUUGGUGUAGCAGGCCGGCUCCAUUCCUUGGAGCUUAAGAGGAAGCAGAAGAUCAUGGUGCAAGUGUGUGGCAGAGGGAAGCAGUUCACAUGGUGAUCAGAAAACAGAGAAAUAGUUCUCUACUCGCCAGAUACAAAUAUAGACCCCAAAACCACACCCUUACUGCCUUACCUCCUCCAGGUACACCCUGCUUUCAGUUACUACUCAGUUAAUCCCAUCAGGCAAUUAAUUCGCUAUUGGGUUAAGACUCUUAUAACCCAAUCAUUUACCUUCUGAACUCUCUUGCAUUGUCUCACGUGUGAACUUUUGGGGGACACCUCAUAUUCAAACCGUAACAAUCAUAACUUGUAUCUACUCAUUCAUCUCUCCAGUAAAUGAAUAUUGUAGGAGCUGUUCAGGUGCCAAGCACCAGUGUGGGUGCUUGGGAUGUAUUUGAGCAAAAAACAGGAAAAAAAAAUCUUGACUUUGUGAAGUUUAGCUUCUAGUGGGGAAAAGAUAACAUUGGGAGGUUGAUAAUUCAUUUUAUUUUCCAUUUACAUCUUCCUGUUUGAUUUUUUUCUUCUUCAAAGGACAUAUAUUCAUGCAUUACUUUUUUAAAAAUAUUUUUUAUAGAAAUAAUUUCAAACUUAUAGUAAAAACAUUACAAAGAAAGUCCUAGAUGCUUUUUACCCAAAUUCAACCAUUCUUAACAUUUUAUUUUGUUCUCUUAUUUUUUCAUACUAUGGAUAUAGAAGAGCUCAUACCACUCAUUUGUAUUUACCUGAUGUUAUGUUUCCUCAUAAUUAGAUUCAGGUUAUGCAUUUUUAUUGAACUGCUAAAGAGAACAUGCAUGAUAACUGAAGACCACAGGGUGUUCACAUAUCCUUCAUUGCAGUGUUAAUUGUUAUGCACCUUUUGAAGGUUUUAUCCAACUUCUUCACUAUGUUACUUUUUUCCUCCCUCAAAAUUAAUCAGGAUAUAUUUUAAAAUCAUGAAAAAUUUCCAUUUUCAUAAAAAUUUUUCCUGUAUAUAGUAUUUAUCAUGAUUUUGCACAAUCUAACCUUUGACUAGAUAGUUGCAAAAUGAUAAUUUUCUAACUUCAGUAUUUUCUCCAUGGUAACUAGUCAGCAUUAAUUUUCUACCAUAAUCAAAUGUUGUUUAAUUUUUUUUAAUCUAUCUACGUAUCUAUCUAUCUAUCUAUCAUGGACUAAUGACAUUCUUGUUUUCAGAGGUUUGUAAUUCAUUUAUGUACUUGUUUAUUUGGAUUCCAAGUGAUCCCAGAAGUCACCAGUAGUAGCAUUACCAAAUGAUUUCUGUUCCCUUGUGACUUCAUCCUUUAUUUAUUUAUUUUUAACCUUCUUACUAUACCAGGAUCAUUUUGUACCCCCACCCAUGAAAUCAACUAUUUCUCCAAGGAAUUCUCAUUCCUUUGAGUGGACCUAGUAAGCUCUUUGAGACUGGGGUUUCUAUAGACCUUUUCACCAGAGACCGGUCUGUGAAUGUAUAUAUACACAUGCAUCCGUGUGUGUGUGUGUAUAUAUAUGUUAUAUACAUGCAUAAUUUAGAUAGUAUUCCUUCAUACCUCCCUUUCCAGUCUAUACUUAUUGGUUUUGUUUUGGUUUUGCAUUAUCUUUCCAUAAUUGUAUUCUUCUUCCAUCAUGAGAUCCCUGGUUCUUAUGCUCUAUAUGCUAUUUGUUAUGCUUAAUAUCUCUUGCAAGUCAUGGCAUAUAAUUUCACAGUUAUAUUUUUAUUUCUAUAAUUGUAUAACUACUGUAUAGUAGGUAUAUUUCAUAGCUUAUUCAUCCAUCUAUGAUUUGACAUUUAGGUAGUUUUAAAUUAUUUUAAAAUUAUAAAUAAUACUACAAUUAAUAACCUUGUGCAUAUAUAUUUUUGUAUUACUGAGCUUUCUAGGAGUGAUAUGAGAUUAGUCCAUUUUAUGUUAUUAUAAUAAAAUACCUGCAGCUAGGUAACUUUAUAAAGAAAAGAGGUUCAAUGGUCUGCAUCUUGUGAUGGUCUUUUUUUAGUAGAGUACUUAGACUGUGAGAGCAUCACAUAGUAAGAGACAGGGAGUAUGCAUGUUGUCUCUUUUUUUUCUUGUAAAAUUAACAACAUGGGUUGUCUACUCUAAUGACCUUAUUUAAUUCUAAUUACCUCCUAAAGGCCCCACAAUUAAAUACCAAAGUCAGAUUAAGCUUUUGCCAUCUUAAUACCUCACAGUUGGGAUUAAAUUUUAACACAGAAACCCUUGGGGGAUACACUCAAAUCAUGUUCAAAUCAUACCAGAUAUUAUGGGUCAAAAAGUGUGAAGUCAGUUUUAACCGUGAGGAAUUUGAGGCAAUAUUUCAAUGGAUAGAGCAAAUUGCAUGGACUCAUUCUUUAUGAAAAUCAGUGAUUCUAUCUAUCAUGUGUCCCAGGCCCUGUAUGAAGCUAUGGGGUUAUACUGGUGAACAAAAAAUGCACAAUAUGGCCAGUUGUGUAGUUAACAAUCUAGUAUAUAUACUAGGCUAGCGAUACAGAACAACAGAGUCUUUGAGAUAAUAGAUAUCAGCUUUUAUCUUCUUCUCCUCCUCCUCCUCCUCCUCCUCCUUCUUCAUCCUUCUUUCUUCCUUUCUUCCUUUCUUCUCUCCUCCUCCUCCUCCUCCUCCUCUUCCUCCUUCUUCUUUUCGUACUGGGGAUUGAAAUCAGAAAAUCAUAGAUGCUUUAACACUGAACCACAUCCUCAGCCUUUAUUUAUUUAUUUAUUUUAGGCAGAUUCUUGCUAAGUUGAUUAGGGCCUCAUUGAGUUGCUGAGGCUGACUCAAACUUGUGAUCCUCCUGCCUCAGUCUUCUGAGUUACUGGGAUUAUAGGCAUGUGACACCAUGCCUGGCUAACAUUUUCAUUUUUCAACCUUGCUCAAAUCAGUAAGCAUGUACUUGCUAAGCCAGGCUCACAUUUCUUUUUAAAAAUGAAAAACAAUUAUGGAUAUUUCAGGAUGCAAAAAAGCAAAGACAAGAAAUAUAGUUUUUGUAUUUUCUUUUUAUUCUCUUCCCUUUGUUGUUUGCUUUUUCAUUUUGUUUUGUUUUGUUUUCAGGUGUUAGUGAUCAAACCUAAAGCCUUGCACAUUCAGGGAAAGGCUCUAUCACUGAGCUACAUACCCAGCCUAUUCUCUGCUUCAAACAAUUAUAGAAAUUAUUUAAGUAAACACACUGAUACUAGAAUUCUUCUGUAACUUACUUCAAAGUUCAAGCCAAUAUGAAACCUUUUUUUUUCUUUCUGUAUUUCACUUUAUAGAAUGUGGCUACAUCUUUCUUCCUACUGGGCAGUAUUUUCAUAGUGGUGUAGGUGGAGGUAUGUUUAUUUCUGUGACUUUCUUGGUCUUAGAAAUUACUUCCUAGAAUGAGAUCUAUAUAGUCCUGACCCAUUACUUAAUUGAAGCUGAUAUGAUGGGCAAGACAUCUGAUUUUCUAAAUGUUGAUAUUAGAAAUAAACAUGCAAAUCUGACAGUGGAUUCAAUAUUCUGAAUGUCUCUUGGGAAAGUUGAACAUAGAUCUUAAUGUGAUUAAUGAAAAAUGACAAGGUUGGUUAAUGACAUUCCCUUUUCCCCAAAAAAUGAUGAAAAAUAUUAUACUUGUAUUGAGAUAGUACUAUCACAUAUUUGUAGGAUCUGAAAAAGAAAUUUGACCAAGGGGUUGCCAGAAUAGCACUGUGAAUGUCUACAUCCUAAUGUCUAGAACCUGUAAGUACCUUAAGUUACAUGACUAAGGGGAGUUAAGAUUGCCAAUCAGCUGAUUUUAAAAUAGGAGAAUAUCUUGGAUUAUGUUCAUGUUAUGAAUCAAGUUAUUCUGAUUGUUGUUGCUUUAUAGUGAGCUGUAAUAUUAGGUACAACUACCUCCUAUAUUAAGUAUAACAUUAGUAUAACAUCAAUUUUAUAGAUAUUCUCUGUUAACAUAAGUUCCCAACUAUUUUUAGAUUAAGAGGUUUUACAUUAAUUAGUGUUAAAUUUUUUCAAUGCUUUUUUAGCAUUGUUAAAAUUAUGUUUUACCCUUUAAUCAGUAAAUAUGGUGAAUUUCAUGGAGUGAUAAUUGAAGGUCAAAACAAUGUAACAUUCCUGGGAUAAAUCCUAUUUUAUCAUGAUAUCCUCUUUAUACAUUGUUGCUAAUGUUUUCUUAAUGUUUUUUGCCUCCUAUAAUUAUAUAUGUAAUAGAUGUAUACAUCUAUUUACCUUCCUGUAUAUGUGUAAAUGGAAAACAUCUAUAUUUUUAUAGUUUGUCUUGUUUUGAUAUUAAAAUGUUGCAGUUCUCAUAAAAAGUCAAAUUAUAUAAAUAUGCAUAUAUAUAUAUUCAUAUAUAUAUAUAUAUAUAUAUAUAUAUAUAUAUAUAUAUGAAUAUGCCACAGUGAAAUACACCAUUCUGUAUACUUAUCAUACACCAAUUAAAAAAAUAAAAAUGUGUUAGGAAAUCAUAGGUGUUCAUCUGUUUUUUAAAAAAUAUUGGUUUAAUAUUGGUAUUAUUUCUUCCUUGAAUGUUUGAUAGAGCUCAUGGGUGAAAUAAAUCAUCAAGGAAUGGAAUUUUUUAGAGUACUUUGGCAAUAAAUUCAGUUUCUUUAAUGGAUAUAGGACUAUUUUGUUUCUUCUUGUGUUAUGGGAAAAUUUUAUUUUUUAAGACAAUUUUCCAUAAGAUAUUUAAUUUUACAAACAUGAUUGUGCAACUGAUUGAAACAUAGCUGCUUUGCUUACACUUAUUUAAAUACUUAAAAAUAUAUGUCUACAUACAGAAAGAGAAAGAUACAUACAGAAAGGGUCACUAUACAAUAAAUAUCAGAAGUGCUAUUUUUAAUAAAACCUGUAUCAUCAGUUGUAAUUGACAUAUUAAAAGUAUUCAUAAACAGUAUUUCCUUUUACCAUUUAUUCUAUUGCCUUCUUUUUUCUUUAACUUUUCUCACUUUAGUCUUUCUCCUUCUUCUGCUGACCUUUAAUAUCAAGCUGUCUAGUAGCCACAUUCAUCUUUUUAAAGAUACAAAGUGAAAUAGUAGAAAAGUUGAGAAAUGUGGCAUCCUCUUUAGUGUUGUUGUUACUGUUAUAAAUAACACUGCCUUCAGAUUACUACAAAUAUCUUGUGAUGGAUGAAGUAGGUUUUACAGUCAUUUUUAUAGCAAAUCCUUGGGUGCCUAUGGUUUCCUGUUACUGUACUGAUUGUAUUAGUCACCUAUUUUGUCAACCAGAACAAAUGAGAAUAAGCCCAUUAAAGAAUAUCAGGAAACAAAACCAUUGCUGUUUGAAAUUUAUCCUUGUACUGAAAGGAUCUCUUUGCUGACUCUGAUAUUCCUGAUGAAUUUUUUAAAGUAUUGAAUAUAUUAUAAAAAUAAUUUAAAAUAUUCUCUAGGACUGGGGAUGUAGCUCAGAGAUUUUACUUUUGCCUAGCAUGCAUGAGGCCCUUAGUUAAAGCCUCAGUCUACUAAAUAAACAGUCAAUCUACCCAAACCCACAAAUUAUUAAAUAAAUGCAUUGUUGAGAACUUUAACUCUUAGUGAAAGUCUGUUAACCUAUCUAAUUAGACGUUUAUUUAAGAUACAUUUUUUUCUUAAGUGCCUUUUCUUAAUAAAGCAACAUUUGAGCCAUUUCAAAGUUCUAGGAAAACAUAUUACAUACAUGGUUAUGACAUUAAUCCAUAAACCAAUUAAUAGAGCCAUAUCCCCUGCCCUAUUUUGUAUUUUAUUUUGAGACGGGAUCUCACUGAUUUGCAGUAUGUUAAGCAAAAUAAGUCAGACUGAGAAAGUCAAUGGUUAUUUGUUUUCUCUCUUGUGUGGAAGCUAGGGGAAAAAAGCAGGAGGGCAGGGCUCACAUGAAAAUAGGAAGGAGUCCAGUAGAGUAGAGGAAGGUGACUCGGGAGGAAAGGAGAGGAGAAAACUGAGGAAAGGGGAGCCAGCAGGUAAUGAAAUUGACAAAGUUGUGUUAUGUGCAUGUAUAAAUAUAUGACAAGGAAGCCCACUAUUAAGUAAAAUUAUAAUGCAUCAAUUAUAAAAAAGAAAUAUAUAUAUAUAUAUAUAUAUAUAUAUAUAUAUAUAUAUAUAUAUAAUUGUUGACUCUGUUUGUAUAUAAAAUAUGUUCACACCAAGUCAUGUACCUUGGAUAAUGAUGUCCAUCCCAUUCCACCAUCAUUGCUAACUCCCUGCCCUCUCCCUUCCCCUCCAACCCUUCUGCCCUAUCUAGAGUUCCUCUGUUCCUCCCAUGUUCCCGCUCCCUACCCCACUAUGAGUCAGACUCCUUAUAUCAGAGAAAACAUUCGGCAUUUGGUUUUUUGGGAUUGGCUAACUUCACUUAGCAUUAUCUUCUCUAACUCCAUCCAUUUACCUGCAAAUGCCAUGAUUUUAUUCUUUUCUAUUGCUGAGUAAUAUUCCAUUGUGUAUAUAUGCGACAUUUUUUUAAUCCAUUCACCUGUUGAAGGGAUCUAGGAUGGUUCCAGUUUAGCUAUUGUGAAUUGUUCUGCUAUAAACAUUGAUAUGGCUGUGUCCCUCUAGUAUGCUGUUUUUAAGUCCUGUGGGUAUAGACUUGGAGAGGAAGAGCUGAGUCAAAUGAUAUUUCCAUUCCCAGUUUUCCAAGGAAUCCCCAUACUGGUUUCCAUAUCGGCUGCACCAAUUUGCAGUCCCACCAGCAAUGUAUGAGUGUGCCUUUUUCCCCACAUCCUUGCCAACACUUAUUGUUGUUUGUCUUCAUGAUAGCUGCCAUUCUGACUGGAGUGCAAUGAUAUCUUAGAGUAGUUUUGAUUUGCAUUUCUUUAAUUGCUAGAGAUGAUGAACAUUUUUUCAUGUAUUUGUUGGUUGAUUGUAUAGCCUCGUCUGAGAAGUGUCUGUUCAUGUCCUUGGUCUAAUUAUUGAUCGGGUUAUUUGGGUUUUUUUGGUGCUUAGCUUUUGAGUUCUUUAUAUACCUUAGAGAUUAGUGCUCUGUCUGAUGUGUGAGGGAUAAAAAUUUGCUCCUAAGAUGUAGGCUCUCUAUUCAUUUCACAGGUUGUUUUUUUGUUGAGAAGAAAUUUUUCAUUUGAAUCCAUCCCACUUAUUAAUUCUUGGUUUUAAUUCUUGUGGUAUAGGUGUCUUAUUAAGAAAGUAGGGGCCUAAUCCCACAUGAUUAAGAUUAGGGCCUACUUUUUCUUUUAAUAUUCGCAGAGUCUCUGAUUUAAUUCCUAGAUUAACCUAUCUAAUUAGAAGUUAAUUUUAGAAAUAUUACAAAACAUUUCUUGUCCUUGAUCCACUUUGAUUUGAGUUUUAUGCAUGGUGAGAGAUAGGGGUUUAAUCUCAUUUUGUUGCUAAUGGAUUUCCAGUUUUCCCAGCACCAUUUGUUGAAGAGGCUAUCUUUUCUCCAAUGCAUGUUUUUGGUGCUUUUAUCUAAUAUGAGAUAAUUGUAAUUUUGUGGGUUAGUCUCUGUGUCCUCAAUUCUGUACAAUUGGUCUACCAGUCUGUUUGGAUUCCAGUACCGUGCUGUUUUUGUUACUAUUACUCUGUAGUAUAUUUAAGGUCUGGUGUAGUGAUACAACCUGUUUCACUCUUCUUGUAAAGGAUUGCUUUAGCUAUUUUGGGUCUCUUAUUUUUGCGGAUAAAUUUCAUGACUGUCUUUUCUGUUUCUAUGAGGAAUGCCAUUGGGAUUUUGAUUGGAAUUGCAUUAAAUCUGUUUAGUGCUUUUGGUAGUAUGGUCAUUUUGAUAAUAUUAAUUCUGUCUAUCCAAGAGCAAGGUAGAUCUUUCUGCCUUCUAAGGGCUUCUUUGAUUUCUUUCUUUAGGAUUCUACAGUUUUCAUUGUAUAGAUCUUCCACCUCUUGUUGAUUCCUAAGUUUUUUUUUUUUGUUGUUGUUGUUGUUGUUGUUUGUUUGUUUUGAGGCUAUUGAGAAUGGGGUAGUUUUCCUCAUUUCCCUCUCAGAGUAUUUGUCACUGCUAUACACAAAUGCCUUUGAUUUAUGGGUGUUGAUUUUAUAUCCUGCUACUUUGCUGAAUUCAUUUACUAGUUGUAGUCUGGUGGAACUCUCUGGGUCUUCUAGGUAUAGAAUCAUCAGAAGCCUACCAACGAAGAAAAGACCAGGACCAGAUGGAUACGGAGUCGAAUUCUAUGAGACCUUUAAAGAAGAACUAAUACCAACACUCUUCAGUUUAUUUCAGGAAACAGAAAAAGAGGCAGCACUUCCAAACUCAUUUUAUGAGGCCAAUAUCACCCUGAUCCCCAAACCAGGCAAAGACACAUCAAAAAAAGAAAACUUUAGACCAAUAUCUCUUAUGAACAUAUAUUCAAAAAUUUUCAAUAUAAUUCUGUCAAAUUGAAUACGAAAACAUAACAAAACGUUUGUGCACCAUGAUCAAGUAGAAUUCAUCCCAGGGAUGCAAGGUUGGUUCAACAUAUGAAACAGGAAACACUCAACCCUUGACUUUCUGAGUCUGGCUUAUUUCAAUUAGCAUUAUGUUCUCUAGUUCCACCCAUUUACUAGCAAAUGCUGUAAUUUUCUUUUUUAUAGCUGAGUAAAACUCCAUUGAGUAUAUAUACCAUAUUUUCUUCAUUCAUUCAUCUGUUAUAGGAUCACUUAGGUUGAUUCUAUAAUUUGGCUCUAAACAUUGAUGUACCUGUAUUGUAUCUCCUUUGGCCUUCCAAAGUGGUUGUAUUAAUCUGUAGUCUUACCAAUAGUGCUUGAGUUUACUUUUGUUUCCACAUCCUCAUUAGCAAUUAUUAUUUGCAUUUCUUUUUUUAAAAAAAAUAUUUAUUUGUUAGGUGUAGAUGGACACAACACAAGGCCUUUAUUUUUAUGUGGUGCUGAGGAUCGAACCGGGUCCUGCCUGUGCUAGGCGAGUGCUCUACCGCUGAGCCACAAUCCCAGCCCCUAUUAUUUGCAUUCUUGAUGGCUGCCAUUCUAACUGGAAUAAGAUGAAAUUCCAGAGUAGUUUUGAUUUCAUUUCCCUGAUUGCUGAUGACAUUGAACGUUUUUCAUAUAUUUUUGGCCAUUUCUAUUUCUUCUUUUGAGAAAUGUCUGUUAGAUCAUUUGUACAUUUAUUCAGUUAUAUUUUGUAGUGCUUUUUGAGUUCUUUAUAUAUUCUUGAUAUUAAACCCUUGUGGGAAGAGUUGCUGGUCAAGAUAGUCUCUCAUUUUGUGAGCUCUUUCUUAAUGCUUUUGUUUCUUUUGCUGUGCAGAAGCUUUUUUAAUUUGAUGCUGUCAAAUUUAUUGGUUCCUGGUUUUAUUUAUUGAGCUUUAAAAUCUUAUUAAAGGAAGGCAGUACUUUCUCCAAUAUGUUGGGGUGUUGAUCCUAUUUUUUUCUUCUAGUAGUUUUAGUGUUUCUGAUUUAAUUGCUAGGUCUUUGAUGAUUUUUGUGUAGAGAGACAGGGAUCUAGUUUCAUUCUUCCACACUUGAAAUUCCAAAUCUUGGUUUUUAAAUUGUUUUGUAGAGUUCUCAGCUCCUUCGGACAGAAAAUCUGAUAAGGAGUAAGACAGCAUAUGCUUUGUAAAUAUUAUCUUUAUUUUUCCGAAAGAAAAAUGUUGAUGAAAAAUAUCCAUAACCAGGCUCUGAUAAAAAGAUGCAAAGCAUGGCUUUAUAGCACAAAACGAUAAAAGGAAACAAUAUGUUCAUGCUAUUAUGUUUGAUUUCUACUAAAUGAUAAAAUUAUUAUUUAUAAUGAUGUAUAUUCGAAGACAGUUUUAAAAAUUAUGGUAACUGCUUCCAAAAACUAGUACUUCUGUCAUUUGAAUGCUACUCUAGUAAUUUGUGUCAAAUGUGUAAUUUAAAAAGCUCUAAAUUUGCUUUUUGGCUACUUCUAUUUUGCUUCAUCAAAUUUGCUAUUGUAUAUGUUUAUUACAUGUUUUGCCCAGUGUUACUUGGCCAUAAAAUACUUUCUGGCUACUAACAUAAGCAUUUCAGAAUCAGAAAACAGUUUUGAUACAACUUUUUAAUCAAAAUCCCUAAUUUAAAAGAUCAUAUUCAAACAGUUAUCAAUCUCAAAGUAGUUCUAAUCUCUAAAACACUAUUUUAAUUUUAAGUAUAAGAUAUUGUCAGAAUAGCCAGGUGUGGUUGUGCACAUCUGUGCUCAGAAGCCUGAGGCAGGAGGAUUGCAAAUUCAAAGCCAGCCUCAGCAUCUUAGUGAGACUCUAACCAACUUAAUAAGAAUAAUAGAAAGCUCAAAAUAAUAGAAAGCUCUGGGGAUAUAGUGGCUCAGUGGUUAAACAACCCUGGCUUAAAUCCCUGGUACAAAAUAAAAGAUCAUCUAAGUAAACACAAAAGUUAUCUUAUUCAAAGUAAAUAGAAUAUAGGAAUAUAUUAAAGUGCCAGUAUUUGCUUUAGAAAGAAAUUUCUUGCCUAACAUGUCCACUGUUACUAGUAGUCUAGCAGAUGUUUUUCCAAAUUAAAAAAAAAAAAAAACAUACCAUGUUCAUCAUUACUUAAUCCAGUAAUAAUAGAAUUUUCAUGUAGUUUUUGUGUGUGUAUGUUCCUUUUUACAUUUCACUUUUCAGUUGAUGUUGAGCCAUAGGAGAAAGUUUUACUUGAUCCAUUAACAAUUAGCAGUUUUACAGAGAAGCCAGAGGCAACCAAGGAAAUAAUAGCAUAAAACAAAACCUACAAUAUACCAAUAGUAUAUUUUUUAUUUAUUCUUAGAUGGAGUAGAAAUCCAUUGUCAUAACCAGAGUACCAGAGUAGGUCUUAUCCUUCUCUUUUCUACAUUAUUAUUAUUAUUAUUAUUUUACUACAGCAGGAAUUUUGUAAAUGACAGAAAACUGAGCUUUGGAUAGCUCAAUCUAAUCAUUACAUUUCAAUGAUUAAAUCCUCCAUGACUGAAAAGUAUUGUGGUAAAUAAGGGGCAAAGUCAAGUGAAUCUUAUGCUUCUGUUUUUGAAGAACAGAAUGACCUUAGACCAAUCUCUUGAGUCUUGAUUCCUCUUCUUUAUCUAGACACCCAUCAAAUUAUGUAAUUGGGGUGCAUCUCUAAACGAUCCCAGUUUCUGGGUUCUGUAAUCAUUGCCAAUUUCACCGUGCAAAUAACAGUAAAAGGACAACCCUUAAUAUUCCCUUCGAAACUAUUUGUUUUAUCCCUUAAAAAAAUACUUUAAUACAUCCAGGAAAUAACUGACCAACAUGGUACUAGUAUCCAGUCUUUCCACGUAAACCAUGGUUUCUUUCUCUUCUGAUACAGAUUUUUAAGCUAUAUUUAUGGUUUUAUAAUAAGACAAUAGGGAAUUUUCCUUUUCUUUUGCUUUUAUUUAAUUAAUUGAUUGAUUGAUCACUAACAUUUUCUCCAAUAUGAAGCAAUAUUCCUAGUGGUUAAUAAAAACUUAAUGUUUUGAGUGAUUGAAUGAAUGAAUAUAUAUUUAUGUGUAUAUGUAAUAUAUAUAAAUGUUUUGACUAUUAAACAUAUUUACACACACAGCUGAAUUAAUGUGCUCCUGUUUUAAACACAGUGGAAGCCAUCGAGGCAUUAAAUAUUAUCUGCAUUUAGAUUUAGAUUUUUCUGUACUAGUUGACAUGUCACUACUGUAAGAUAUUGUUUAGCAAGAAUGGAACAUUCUUAAUUUUUCUACAUUUUAUAUACUAUUGUUGAAGAAGUUCAACUUCUCAAUUUCAGCUAUGUUUUUCCAGCUUAAACUUUUUAUCAAUUCAAUAUUUAAAUAUCAUUAAUGAAAGCGUCUACCUGUCUUUUCUCCUCUCCCUUCCCUCCCAAAUGAUCUAAUUUCUGUGGGGACUUACAUCAGUAUUUAUAUAAUCUAAGGCACUAUUUGUUUAAUUUGAUCACUAAAGAAGGAAAGAAAUAGCCACCAAUUUAAUUGUAAAACAAUGUAAUGAUAGUUUCAAAUUAUGCAAGAAUUAUGCAUAUCAGCCUUCCAAAACUGUUACAUUUUUCAUCCCUUAUAAUGAAAUUGGCAACUUCUGCUUGCAGUUGCAUUUCUUUGUAAAUAAUGACUUAUCAGAACAGAAAUUAGAUGUCAUUUAUCUGGAGUAUUGUCCCAUCUUAAAAAUCUUCAUUUUGGGGAAGAAUAUGUAGAAUUGACACUAAUGUAUGGAAUUGAAGCAAAGGUUCUAGUGAUAAAUCUUUGAUUUUCUAAUAUCAAAUUAUAGCUUAUUAUUGUCAUCAUGUUUUUCUUCAUAUGUAAUUACUUGACUUCAUUGAUGAUUCAUGAUAUUAUUUUAAAGGUAUUUUAAACAUCAUUAAACAUAUCCCUUAUUUAUAUUAACAAUGCAUAUGCUUCAAUUGAAGUGACAGCAAUACAAAGAGAUUUGACCAAUCUUAUGAACAUAUACAUAAUAAUAAUAUUAUAAGUAAUACCACUUGUCUGAUAGCAAUUUUAAGAUGCCUUCAAUUGGAGGAUAUGUUUCAAGUUCAGUGAUGUUGAAAUAUUAAAAAUAUUUGUGUUACAUAUUAUGAAAUACAGUACUAUUCACAAGAGAGUGUACACAUAUAGUCCUCUGUCUUUAUUGGCCACAGCUGAGGCAUAAUUUAUUCUGCUUGAUUUUAGAGCUUCAAUCUCUAUCUCUGCCAUUUUUGCCAAAACAAAUACCCCUCCUGUUAAAAGCUCCUACAGAUUAUACUGUUCACUCCUGGUUCUGUCUCUAAAGUUUCUUUGAGUCUACCAGUCCCCUUUUACAGCUUUUACAACUUCUAUAUCACUUCUCCAAGUAGGAACUCUUGGAUAUUUUCCUCAUGCAAAGCUAAUGCUCCGUGUUUUCUUUUUUUUGUUUGUUUGUUUGUUUUUUCAAAUUGUUGUUAUAUUACUGAGAAAGAGCAACUGAGUUAAAGAUAGCAACUUAGAAGAUCACACUGAGAAAGUUACAUUUGUGUUGUGGUUAUUUUAACAAAUAUGAAAGAUAACCAAGAAAGAGCUUUUGAUGGAGAAGUAAGUUCCAUGUCAAGAGGAGUUAAAAGCAUGUGCCAAGCUAUGGCCCUAUAUGAGGAUGUGUACAUGCUGUCAAGCCAAAUACAGGAUAUAUACUGGGUCAUGGAAAAUCAUUGAGAAAAUUAAAUCUGGAAGGUUAUGUUAACAAAACAAUACACUAAGGAUUUAUAUUUUAUCCACCAAGAGGACUUAUAGAUCAUCAAAUGCUUUUCAAUGCAGGAACAAUUCCAACAUAUUUAUGUUCUAGAAGAUGAUUCCAGUGAGCUUGUAAGAGAUUGAGUUUGAAAACACUAAUGUAUAAUACUUUGAGCCUAUUUCAGUUAAGGUGAGGAGUUUCAAACACGUGUAGAGGUUAGUGUUUGAAGUACAUGGAAUCAAAAAUAUUUACAGUAGUGAGACUCAGGAUAAUUAUUCUCUAGAUGAGUACUCUCUCAACAUAAGUAAUCAACAGUGACCUCCCUGCUCCCACUGGAAUGGUGAUAAAGUGGACAGCAUUGUCAUAAUUUAAGAGAAUAUAGAGGAAUAUCAGAUUUAAGGUGGUAGGUUUGAUUAAUGAUGCAUUAAAAAUUACCUCAGGGGAGAAUCUUCCUCAGGGCGAUAUAAAUACAGAACAUCUUUUUAAAUAUUAACUUUGGUCCUCAAUUUAGUCAUGCCAGGAAGGGGUUAGGGAAUGGCAGUUCCAUAUAGCAUACAAUAGGUGCUGGUCAUGAUGGCAACAUCAGGAUGGAACUCUGGGGAAAUCCCAAUACAAGGGAUUUUUUGGGAAAUUCCACAGAAUGUGUACUCUUUAGGGGGAGAGCUGGCCAUAUUGUAAAAUAUAAAGUUUCAGUACAAUAUUGGACAUGAUGUGAUUUGAUAGAUCUUAAUAGUUACACUUAUCCACAUUUGUCCUGAGAUAAAUUAUGGCUGUUGAGAUGCAUUUCUGAAGUCAUACAUUAAAACCUUUGUUUGUGUCAGUUACUUCUCUAUCUGAAAACUUCCUGUGGUACCACUAGCUUUUUUAACAAUCCACAAAUUCAUUAUAAAAAUAAUCAUGUUUCAAGUAUUGAACAGAUGAGAAUUGGGAAAAAAUAUUGUCUAAGUUUUUUCAAAAUUAUCUUCAAUAUAUUUUUGAAAGGUUUGAUUUUAUUCUUAAAAUAUUUCAUAAGCUCAGUAGCUUCUAGUCAUGUAGAGCUCUGUUAUAGAUUAAUGACUAAGAUUUGAGUAAAACAAUGUAAAAAAGGACUUUACUUAUGUUCAAGCCAUAUCUUCAAUGACGUUCUAAGCAUUACUGGUAAUUAUAAGAAGAUUUAUAAUAAUCCUUUGGCUAUUCUUUGGUUUGACAAAAUGCUUUAAAUUGUGAUGCAUUUAAAGUUAAAUAAUAGUAAAGGAACUUACAUAAUUAGAAUUAAUGUCCAUAAAAAUGUGUGACAAAAAUUUAACUAUAUACUACAAAUCAGUCAUUAAGAGAAAAUGGGCAAAUUGGCCCCAUUAUGUUUAUUGAAACCCUGUCUUCUGUAUAGAUAAUUUUCAUUACAUUACUGUAAAUACCCAAAGCAUUUUUAACAUCAUAUUCUCAGGCCUGCAGCUUUAAUUAAUCCUCAUUUCUGAAGUUUUAAAAACAAGAUUAGUUAAAUAAUUGUAUUUACAGAAACUACAUAAACAACUAUAUUGCAUACUGAAGUCAAUCAAAGUAAUUUAUUAAUAUUACAUGAGGACAUAACUUCAUUGUGACUGUAACUUUUGUCUUAACUCCUAGCACUUAUAUAUAAAAUUCCUUUGAAAAUUAGAAAUAUAAUUCAAAAGAUAAUAUUUGAAGUCAUAAAUACAGACAAAAUAAUCAUUGUUUUAUGGUGUCCUUUAUUGUGAUUUUUGUAGAUUAAAUACUUUAUUAUAUUCUUCCCUCCCUUGAAAAUCCUUCUGAAUAUUUUGAGAUGUUUUGAAUUUAUUACAGAAGGGUCAUUUUAAUAUUUUUUUCUUCCAGAUAAGAAUGUGCCUUUUGAUAAGAAGAUUUAAUCCUUCUACAGUGAAAAGCAGAGUCUGUUUAAGGAAUAAGAAGCCACUAUAUCAAUGGGGUGAGGGGUAUUUAAGUUCAUACAUUAUGAUAACCUUUAUUUCGUUGUUGCUGCAAUAAAUACUGUAUCACUUUGUUAUACCAUUGUAUGUACAGAAGUGUUCUAUUAAUGGGCUCAGUGUUGUUAGGGAUAAACUAUAUUGUAAUAGUUUAUCUGUUUGAAAAUUACUUUAAAACUCCAUGUUUCUGAAGAGUUUUUGUUUAUUGCUUACCACAUUAUUGUAAAUUGGUUUUUUUUAUGUACUAAUCAGUUAAUGUUAAUUUUUUUUUUGCGGGUAUCAUUUUAUAGAGCCCUAACCCCCAACAAGCAACUGGUGUGUAAAAAUAAUUAAAAUUUUCCUUUACUGAAAUAUAUUUCCCAUUUUUGUGGGGAAAUGAAGCCAAAUUUAUUAUGUGUUUGGGUUUUUAAAAUAUUAAUAAAUGUCUGAGUUAUUGUAUGCAAAACAAUAAAUGUGAUGUAAAAUUCUUUUAAUCUGGUACAGAUAAUAUGUUCACAAAAUAAACCUGAAGAUCAUAGAACUACUUUUAAUAUAUG